rnacentral:rRNA from 1 species
UACGUAGGGGGCAAGCGUUGUCCGGAAUUAUUGGGCGUAAAGAGCGUGUAGGCGGCCAUUCAGGUCAGCUGUGAAAACUCGAGGCUCAACCUCGAGACGUCGGUUGAAACCGUUUGGCUAGAGUCCGGAAGAGGAGAGUGGAAUUCCCGGUGUAGCGGUGAAAUGCGCAGAUAUCGGGAAGAACACCCGUGGCGAAGGCGGCUCUCUGGGACGGUACUGACGCUGAGACGCGAAAGCGUGGGGAGCGAACAGG